UCCAACAGGCCUGGUGAGUAUGAACCAGGGUCCUUUCGUUUCGUCAGCCUCAAUCCCUCACCCACAACAACGGUGAGAAUAGUGACACAGACGGGAGACAGACACCAAGAAAAGGGGGGGGGAAGUGUAAUGUACAACAUCAUAUAUACACCACAGCAACGCUGUAUCUGAAGUUGAAAACCAAGUCCCACGGAGGUGAUUUCUUCUCCUACGGGGGAUUCAUACAAUCAAGGGAUGAAGGAGAGGAGGUCAGGGUGUUGUAGGUUUCUCGAUACUUUGGGGAAGAAAGCCGUCGUGUUUCUCUUUUUAUUUUUUAUUUCUCUUUGACAAAAAAAAAUAACGACUAAAAUGACCAUGGAACUCUAGGAACAGCCACAUGUGUCAGCUUCUGUGUGCGUGGGUGUAUACCUGUGUGUGUGUGUGUGUGUAUACGUGUGUGUGUGUGUAUAUAUGUGUGUGUGUGUGUGUGUGUGUGUGUGUAUGCUUUACACUCAGAGCAGUAUGGUACAGAAAAUGUCCUACAAUCUACUGCACUCUGCACAGGCCAACCUGGUGAAGAUGGGGAUGGACAGCGAGGGGGGGGGUGAAGCCAUCCCCUUUACGGCAGCUCGUUACCAGGAGGCCACAUGUUCUGACUCUGCCCCUGCUCACCUCUGGCGAGCCCACGACUCCUCGUGGGGCGGGGGGGGGGGGGGGGGGGGUGCUAGGGCACAACCGUGUCUCCCAAACUUACUGUAAACGAGACAGCAACUUUGGUUACAGUUUUUGUUUUUCAGCUAUGUACUUUAAUUUUAU